AUUUUUAAAAUUUUCCUUUGACUUUUGCUUAUUUUCGAUAAUUUUUGACAAACAUUUCGUUGAUAAUAACCAUAUGCUAAUCAUACUAUAGUCUUUGCUUGGCUGUAAACAGACUACAUAACCUCGCUACGCCUUCGCCUUCGCUUCGUGUUGUCUCGUUGGUCUCGUGCGGUGUCAGCAAAAGGAAAGUGAUAUCGUGUAAACUUGUCAUAAACUGAGCGAGCCGGUUGAUAACCUCUGGUGUGCGAUAUUUUCUGUUUUUUCACCUCAUUGCAGAUUUAUUGAAGAUUUAUUAGAGCGGAGGAACAGCUAUUUAAGCAGGUUUUGGAAUGUUGGUCUAUAUUGCAAUCUCAUGCUCUCUUUUGGUACAGAAAUGGAAUAAAGUGCUUGCUAUUU
rnacentral:lncRNA from 1 species